GGCUCUGUGGCUUAGCGGGUCAAAGCAUCUGUCUCGUAAACAAGAGGUCCUGGGUUCAAAUCCCAGCAGUUCCU
rnacentral:tRNA from 1 species